rnacentral:tmRNA from 1 species
GGGGGCGACUGGUUUCGACAUGGUAGGCUUGAAGUGAGGAGCAGGUCGUGGUCUCCUCGCCACGUUAAACAGGGGUGCCGUCAAGUUAAUUGGCAAAAAGAACACUCAGAGCGCUCCGGCGCUCGCCAUGGCUGCUUAAUCGCACCUGGCUGCCGAACCCGGGUUUUCCCCGAUUCGGGCAAGGUAUCAACUCAGGGGAAUGCUCUUUGGCACGUAGCCGGUAUGGCCAAGGAAAAGACUGAACCGACUCGGGAUGAAAACGUUGGCCUGCGAACCGACGCAUCCUUAAAACCGAUCGCAGGCUAAGCUUGUAGAGCCUCACGGAUCGUCUAGUAUGGACCGGAGUUCGAUUCUCCGCGCCUCCACCA